AUUGAACGCUGGCGGCAGGCCUAACACAUGCAAGUCGAGCGGAUGAAGGGAGCUUGCUCCUGGAUUCAGCGGCGGACGGGUGAGUAAUGCCUAGGAAUCUGCCUGGUAGUGGGGGAUAACGUCCGGAAACGGGCGCUAAUACAGCAUACGUCCAGAGGGAGAAAGUGGGGGAUCUUCGGACCUAACGCUAUUAGAUGAGCCUAGGUCGGAUUAGCUAGUUGGUGAGGUAAAGGCCUACCAAGGCGACGAUCCGUAACUGGUCUGAGAGGAUGAUCAGUCACACUGGAACUGAGACACGGUCCAGACUCCUACGGGAGGCAGCAGUGGGGAAUCUUGGACAAUGGGCGAAAGCCUGAUCCAGCCAUGCCGCGUGUGUGAAGAAGGUCUUCGGAUUGUAAAGCACUUUAAUUUGGGAAGAAGGGCAGUAAGUUAAUACCUUGCUGUUUUGACGUUACCAACAGAAUAAGCACCGGCUAACUUCGUG
rnacentral:rRNA from 1 species